rnacentral:lncRNA from 1 species
UCUACAAAUAAGCUUGAAGCACUAACCAAUGUAGUGCCUGCUACUACAACUGGUACAGCUAUUCACAAAAGCAAAACAGCUAAUUAGCCAGCCAAAAUAAAGAAAACAUCCAGCGAACUUGAACAUGAACCAUAUAACAAAUAGCUUAGUCAAAGUAGGGAUGGCAAAAUUGAUCCGACCCGAUGGGUAUACACCCUAUCCGAAUCCGGUCAAACCC